rnacentral:rRNA from 1 species
UACGUAGGGUGCGAGCGUUGUCCGGAAUUACUGGGCGUAAAGAGCUCGUAGGUGGUUUGUCGCGUUGUUCGUGAAAUCCCACGGCUUAACUGUGGGCGUGCGGGCGAUACGGGCAGACUGGAGUACUGCAGGGGAGACUGGAAUUCCUGGUGUAGCGGUGGAAUGCGCAGAUAUCAGGAGGAACACCGGUGGCGAAGGCGGGUCUCUGGGCAGUAACUGA